GACGAACGCUGGCGGCGUGCUUAACACAUGCAAGUCGAACGGAAAGGCCCUGCUUUUGUGGUGUGCUCGAGUGGCGAACGGGUGAGUAACAAGUGAGUAACCUGCCCUUGACUUUGGGAUAACUUCAGGAAACUGGGGCUAAUACCGGAUAGGAGCUCCUGCUGCAUGGUGGGGGUUGGAAAUUUUCGGCGGUUGGGGAUGGACUCGCGGCUUAUCAGCUUGUUGGUGGGGUAGUGGCUUACCAAGGCUUUGACGGGUAGCCGGCCUGAGAGGGUGACCGGCCACAUUGGGACUGAGAUACGGCCCAGACUCCUACGGGAGGCAGCAGUGGGGAAUAUUGCACAAUGGGCGGAAGCCUGAUGCAGCAACGCCGCGUGCGGGAUGACGGCCUUCGGGUUGUAAACCGCUUUCGCCUGUGACGAAGCGUGAGUGACGGUAAUGGGUAAAGAAGCACCGGCUAACUACGUG
rnacentral:rRNA from 1 species